GCCAGGUGUGGUGGCUCACACCUGUAAUCCCAGCACUCUGGGAGGCUGAGGCAGGAGGAUUGCUUGAGCUCAGGAGUUCGAGACCAGCCUAAGCAAGAGUGAGAGCCCAUCUCUACUUAAAACAGAAAAAUUAGCCAGGCAUCAUGGCACAUGCCUGUAGUCCUGGCUACUUGGGAGGCUGAGGCAGGAGGAUCCUUUAAGAUCAGGAGUUUGAGGCUACAGUGAGUAACGGUUGUGGCACUGCACACUCUAACCUGGGCAACAGAGUGAGACCCUGUCUCA
rnacentral:sRNA from 1 species